AGUAGAGACAGGGUUUCAUUGUGUUGGCCAGGCUGGUCUUUAACUCCUGACCUCAGGUGAUCCACCUAACUUGGCCUCCCAAAGUGUUGGGAUUACAGGCGUGAGCCACUGUGCCCAGCUGAUUAAGUUUUUAAAUAUACCUUUCCUAUGUCAAAGCCAAGAUAAAAGGGCAGUGGAGUGCAAGAAACCUUCUUUACCAGAAUCCCUGGAAAGAAAGGGCUCUAGAAGCCAGUGGGUGUGAGCACAUUCAAGUCACGGGGUUUGAGAUUAUGUGCCCGUGGUGGCUGUUUCCUCCCUUCCGUCACUGGGAAGUCCAUCUUGGGUGGCUUCAAGGCUGCUGGAUCUUCAGCCAUUCGGUUGGCCUGGGCACGGAUCAGUUCCAUUGGAGAGGGCUUCUGGGCUCCUCGGUAGGCCUGGGUGGCAAAACUUCCAGAAUCAUACUUCUGAAGGGAUCUCAGUCCAAAGAGGCCCCACUUAUCUGACAAGUUUCUGUCCUUAUCCCCACUUCCAGAGUCCAUGGUGCUAGGAUUUGGGCCAGGUAAGGCUGUGGAAGAACCAGAAGUGAACCAGCCCCUGGGUCUCUGCUUAGGUGAAAAGUGAGAAGUGGUGCUUGGGGUGGACAGGGCUGAUGCAGGUGGCCUCUCUUCUUUUGUUAUCUCUCCACUCUGCAGCUUUAGUUUGUGGAGUGCUUCUGCUACUCUAAGGUACUUGGUCUUCUGAGUGGUGACACCCUUGUGGGUGUGUAGCCAGGAUCUCUCAGCCCUGCCUGUUGCCCAAAAUGCUGAAAGCUUUCCUGGGUCUGUUUUGUGAUCACAUAAUUCAUGACGACAUGGGUAGCUUUAGCCUUCACCACUGGGAGCUUGUCCACACUGUCAAUGGCCGAUGACAGGGACUGGCAGGGGAGGGUAGACUGGCCUCUCCUUCCUCCACCUUGGUUCUGCUAUCCUGCUGCCGCGGGACUGCCUGUGGCCGGGAGUCCGGCACUAAAAAGAUUCCAAGGGCCUACAUCCCCAAGAGGCUGUGGCGCAUCUGGACCCAAGCCAUGGUGAGAGUGGCAGUGACUUCAAAGGUCUCCAGGACUCACUAG
rnacentral:lncRNA from 1 species